UCCCUUCUUCCUCCUUCCUUUAGCUUUUAUAGCUGAGCUGAUGUCAUAUGGAAUGGAAUAUCCCUUUGUUUAGUUUGGGUCAGCUGGCCUACUUGUGUUCCCUUCCAGGAUCUUGCCCUCAGCGGGGGAAGGAAUGUUACAGCGCUGAUGUUGUGCUCAGCAGUAGCCAAAACACUGGUGUGUUAUCAGCACCUUUCUACAUACCAAUGCAAAGCACAGCAUUGUGAGGGCUGCUGUGGGGAAGAUGAACCAUCUCAGCUCCAUCUCAGCCAGACCCAACGCAAGUAUGAGGAUGGAGACUGUGGGUGAAUCGCCCGCACCAUUUUGUACAACAACACAAGCCUUCUGUUUCGAAUUUGAUUGCAAGGAAGAAACUCUUACAGCUGGAUUUCUUUAACACAGGAGCAGACCACUGAUUUUAAGGAACAAGCAUUGCCUUCAGGAGAUGUGAGGCAGUUUCCUGGGCAUAACCUUCAAAAUGAAUAUUCACACUCCAGUUAUUUCUUAAGCUGUCAACGGGGACUCCAAAAUACUUUUGUGUAGCUUUUUUAUUUUCCCUCUUUGAAGCAUGUAAGAAUAAUAAAACAAGAAUUUAGUAAAAUAUUUUCCAACGUAA